rnacentral:lncRNA from 10 species
CCCAGCUACUCGGGAAACUGAGGCAGGAGAAUCACUUGAAACCAGGAGGCAGAGGUUGCAGUGAGCCAAGAUUGCGCCAUUGCACUCUAGCCUGGGGAACAAGAGCGAAACUCCGUCUCAAAAAAAAAAAAAGAAAGAAAAAAAGAAAAAAACUCAUUUACUGCUGCAAACAAUCCAGUGACAUAUGUCCCUCCUCAUAGAUGAGGAAGUUAAGGCUCGGUGAGAUGAAGUAACUUCCCCACAGUGAAAUAACUAGUUAGAUGGUAGGUCCAACAUGUGAAUCUCUGCAGCCUGAUUCCAGAGUCAGCACGCUUAACUGCUCUGCUAUGUUGCCUCUCUAGCACAAUCUGUAUCAUUCCUUUUCAGUCACACCUACACUCCAGCUAGAUCUGCCAGGAUCACAUACACUCCCACUAGGCAGGAACUCCUCCAGAGCAUCAGACACAUCAGGGUACCACAAACUCAUUUACAUGCUACCCCUGGCCGGACAGAUAGCUUUUUAUCACAUUCUACAAGGUAAAAACUAACAAAGUAGCAUGAACAUUGGAGUCAAAAUGCCAGGAUCUGAGAUCCAGCUACACAAUUUACAAGCUGAAUGACCUUGGACAAGUUACUUAAUCUCUUAGAGCCUCCGUUUCCUGAUCUGUCAACGAGAAAAAUUGCCUCAUGGUUUUUGUGAUAAGUGUAAUAAAUGUAACACGCUUAUUAGUACAUGCCUGGCACAGGGUAGAGCCUCAAUAAAUGUUUGUUGUGUUAUUAUCAUUACAUCUCUUUACAGACCACUUUAUGUACAUUAUCUUAGCUAAUCCUUCCAGCAAACCUGGGAGGUCAGUUGAAAAAUGAAACUGAGAGAAAUGGGAAAUACCAGAUACUAUAUAUCUUUAAGUGGCAAAGCCAGAACUCAAACCUAAAAACACAUCAUGCUGUCUCUGCUGUGUGCUACUGCCUCCUCUGUCUGCAAAAAGAGAUGAAGCUAAGCUGUGCUUCCCAUCUCCAAUUCCCACAUGCUUGCUUCUCUGUUCACAGAAACAGAAAGCAUCUCUGCACAGCACCAGAAACAACAGGAAAAGCAUCUCGGUUAUCCUGUAGAUGCUGCAGACUGGGAAUCAACACAGACAUACCCAGGAGAAGAAUGAGACUGGGCUGGCUGCACAUGCCAAGAGGCUGGCUGCAUCCCCUACAAUAUCCAGAACUCUCAUCAAUCCUCUUUCCAUGCCUCAAACGGUAAUCUACACUCCAACCUUCCCUUGUAAACACAUCAGUACCCACUGAAGUGUGGUACCCCAGAAGACUUUCUGUUAAGCUGUCAGCACGAUUCUACCGAUAACACGGUAUGGCAUUUUAGCAUUAUUGGAUACACCCAUUUAUCUUUGAUUAGAGCUCUAUUAAAAGACUCUUGUAAAAAGCAAAAUGUCAAAACCAAGAACAAAAGUGAAUUAAUGCUCCUACCAUACAUUAAAAGCACAUGUCAUCUAAUCCUCACAGUUGUUUUUUGUCCCUGCUUUUAAACAUGCAAUGAGUGCUCUGAGACCAUAAAAUGGCACAUUUUACUUCAAAGGUAAAAGGGAUGAAUUUCCAAAUGUGAUACAAAUCCUGGAUUGGAUUAAUGAGGCUGACGGCUUCACCAAAGAACCAGCCUAUGUCCAUUCUGAUGACAGCUCCUGUGCCUGUGCUCCAAGUUUACAGGGGAAGAAAAACUGCAGAGCAGAGAAGGAGAACUCGUGGCUUUCUCUUCGUUGGCAGAGUUAUGAAUAGGAAAACUACUUCAAUGCAUGUAAAAUAAAACUAGCUUUCAUUAUAAACCAACCAAAUGGUUUAUUUUCAGUAUCAAAUAACAUAGAAAUUAGAUCCCCAAAAAUCCCAUUAGGUCAU